rnacentral:rRNA from 1 species
GACGAACGCUGGCGGCGUGCUUAACACAUGCAAGUCGAACGGUAAGGCCCUUCGGGGUACACGAGUGGCGAACGGGUGAGUAACACGUGAGUAACCUGCCCUUGACUCUGGGAUAACUGCUAGAAAUGGUAGCUAAUACCGGAUACGACCCUCGGUGGCAUCACCAGGGGGUGGAAAGAAUUUCGGUCAAGGAUGGACUCGCGGCCUAUCAGCUAGCUGGUGAGGUAACGGCUCACCAAGGCGACGACGGGUAGCCGGCCUGAGAGGGUGACCGGCCACACUGGGACUGAGACACGGCCCAGACUCCUACGGGAGGCAGCAGUGGGGAAUAUUGCACAAUGGGCGCAAGCCUGAUGCAGCAACGCCGCGUGAGGGAUGACGGCCUUCGGGUUGUAAACCUCUUUUAGUAGGGAAGAAGCGAAAGUGACGGUACCUGCAGAAAAAGCACCGGCUAACUACGUGCCAGCAGCCGCCGUAA